AAGGGCUUCCGGUGCAGAGAGUGUUUCCUGUGAUAGAGCGUCCAUAGCUGAAGCGGCUUCCUGCAGCGUCAAGUCGCAGAAGCGGAGGGCUUGAUUGGCUGAAGAACCGGAAAUGAGUGAAGCCGGCCGGAUAUAUCUGCUAUUGCCAUGCUGAUCGGACAGCAAGCCCAGAACAGUGUUUUAUCUCAGUCUUUCCUUCAAGUGACUGCCUGUUGCCUUUCCCAGGCCAUUUCCACUAAAAGAAGUGUUCACCAUAGAAACAGAAUCAGGAGAUGAUGCAAACAUGGGCAGAUACAUAGUCUCUGUCUCAUCAUCCAGUAAGUAUUGACUUUUCAAGUGAGAAUUUAUUUAUGACUACAGUGUGACCAGCAUGAAUGAAUUGAGCCUUCAAGUGUUGCUAGAUUCCUAUUGUCCCAUGACAGAGGUUUGGUGAUCCACCUUGGUUUUUAUUCCAGGCUGUAAAAGAGUUACCCCAAAGGCAGAACCCUGUCCCCAAAACAUGUCCUUCAUUUUGGGUAUUUUCUUUAAAAUCUGGAAAGAAAAUUGCUGUUCCCUCACUAUUGAUGCCACUGACCAUUUCUGGUGUGCCCCAUUAGUUACACUACAGCCUCAUCACACCAGAGCAUGGAUUGACUUUAAAUCCGGUUUCGACCUCUUGAAGAAUCCUGGGGUUUAUAGUUUAGUGAGGCCCAGAACUGUCUACUGAGCAGUUUAAAGGCCUCCUUCCCUAAACUAUAAGCCUGCCUUCUUCAAGAGGCAGAAACUGAAUUUAAAGUGGAUCAAUGCUAGUCAAGAUUGAUGAGAAUUUCAGUCCAGCAUUCUCUGGAGGACAACAAACUACUCACACAUAUUUACAAACUGAAUAUUGGCCAAGCCACCGUUUCUGCUGAUAUUUCUCCCCAAAAAUGUUGGACAUUUUCAUUUAUGCAGGAUGCUCAGAACCCAUUUUCAGAGAGGUGUACAAACAUUAAUGUUCCAUCCUUGAUGUCAUGAAGGGGAAUGGGAGAAAAGAGCAACUAUUUGAUUUAUAGCUUGCAUUUCUCCCAAAAUUUGACUCGAAACAGUUAGCUCUGGAGCAUUUUUGUAGGACAACAUCAUCAGCUGGAAUAUAUGUUAAUUUAUUUACUGUGCAUUUUGUGCUAUCCAAAUAUCUAAAAGGUAGGCCUUUCUACUCAUGAAAUCAAUGGCUGUGUUAUGACAUCACACUUGAGAGGGGAAAGCAUGGGUGACUGUCCCUUUGAGAUAACGAAUUGCCCCUCUUAUUUUUGGAAAGGCAUGACCUUUCAGAGACCAUAACCUUUUGGAAAACCAGGAAUCUCCGUAGCUUUUUGGAAGUGUGGCCCUUUUGGAGAUUAAUUGACAUUCACAUUAUUUGAAAUAAUCAUAACCUUUUGUAAAGUAUGAUCUUCCUGAGAAGAGUUCAAUACUCUCCUUAGUGGUAAAUAUCCACUAGUACUCAUGCAAGGCAAAUUAGGCUUCUCAGCUGUUAGAUUGAUAUACCCGGUUAUCUCUCUGAACUGUUAGGAACAAAGAUAUGCCAAUGCACAAAAUAUAUAGCAGAUCUUCAGAAGUGUUAUUUCAUCCCCCCCCCCCCAAAAAAACUAUUCUCCCAAAAAUAUAUUGCUUUUAAAUUAUGCUCUCAAGAGACUAAACAUUAGUAGUCUUCGUUAAAAGUAGCAUAGUUGAUUUACUUACAAACUUCAUGUAUUCAGCAUACAGGUACAUUUCUUACUGGUUGAUAGUUUAAACAAUCUGUUCUCUAAAGCAUUCUGUUUUAGUCUCUUCUUUGCUGCACACAGACUAAUACUCUCUUCAGUCUACUACAUUACUGAACAUUGACUCAAUUACAGACUGACUAUAAGGUAAAAGUAAAGGUUUCCCCUGACGUUAAGUCCAGUCGUGACCGACUCUGAGGGUUGGUGCUUGUUAGUGUAUGUUUAUGUUUUGAGGUUGAAAUGUUAUAUCAAAUUAAACUGUUUGGUGUUUUGCAACUGUGUUUCCAGCAAAGCAUUUCAGCAGUGCAGGAGUUUUAAUCACUAGACUGCUUGAGUGAUUGCCCACAGGACCUAUGGGGCACAGUUUCCGUUUGAACUGUCUGGCCGGAACUCAUGAACUGUGGAAUGUGCUUUCUUAUCAGUUGAGCUGUGUGAGCCGUUUGCUGUGUGGAGAGGCAAAAGAAAAAUGCCAGCUUCCAGCGAUGGCUUUUGCUGCGUUUGUAAAUAUGAUUUGUAAAUACUGAAUGAAUGUUUGAACUUCAGACUGCAGAUGUCUGUGAGUCUGUACUGCUACUCAGAACGAGAGCAGCAGUCUGACAUUGGAGAGGAAUUGGUGAGGGCAGAAGUUCACCGAUUCAUCAGGGUGCUGAUCUGGAGCUGAUGAUCGAUGGUUUUAAAGACACCCACCAACAGACGCACCCUGACCCCUGGCUCUGAUUUUUCACACGUCAGACGCACCCUGACCCCUGGCUCUUCUGAUUUUUGACAGUGCUCAUCUCCAUUUCUAAGCUGAAGAGCCGGUGUUGUCCAUAGACACCUCCAAGGUCAUGUGGCCGGCAUGACUGCAUGGAGCGCCGUUACCUUCCCGCCGGAGUGGUACCUAUUGAUCUACUCAGAUUUGCAUGUUUUCGAACUGCUAGGUUGGCAGGAGCUGGGGCUAACAGCGGGCGCUCAUUUCGCUCCCGGGAUUUGAACCUGGGACCUUUUGGUCCACAAGUUCAGCAACUCAGCACUUUAACACACUGUGCCACCAGGCGCCCGGCAUACUGACACUACCAACUGUAUACUGUACAGACUGACUUCUAAACUGUAGUAUACUGCUUCUGAUUCAAGCUGGCUUCUAAAAUGGAGUCUCAGUCUGAGUAGUCCCAGAUCUGGUCGCAUGGUCUGCAGUCCCUCCCGCAACCGCAAACAACAUAGAGUUAAAGGGAAACUGCAUAUCAAAAUAUACAUACAAUAUAGUAAGCAAUCACAAUUAUAUAUAUAAAACAACUUGUAUAGGAGGCUUGUAGAAGGUUGCUAUUUCCAACACUUUUAUCGACAGCAAUCCCAUUUCGAGUUUCACCUCCCCAUUACACUCAACAUGUGGAAAGUUAAAAGCUAGCAAUACAUUCAUCUUCACAAGGUCAGUAUUUCUUUUUUGUUUCUAAUGAGGAGAAACAACGAUGUCCGAAAACCAAAAGAUCCCUUGCCCUGCCUAAAGCCAGGAGACAGACAUCAGUUGAAAACCACUUCUUUACAUGAGAUAAAAUUGUUCUGCCCCAAACCGCAUAUGAUACAAGAGACGGUGCUCCAGGUUAAAACCAUUUCUUUCCAUGGAAUCCUAUUGAUCUGCAUCAAGCCCUAUGGGAUACAAAAGACAGUGAUUCCGGUUAAAACCAUUUCUUACCAUGGGAUUCUGUUGUUCUGCAUCAAACUCCAUUGGAUACAAGAGACUGCUGACAAUUGGGCAAUGAAAUAGAAUGGAAAACUUUAAUGCUUCCCAUCCCACCAGUUUUUCAGUUGUAACUAUGGGAGUAAAGAGGUAGAAGCUCUGAAGACAAUUGCCGACCCAUGUUCAGAGUUCCCCCCUUUCAUGACAUUUCUGCCUCUUUUCAACCACAGAAGACUAUGCAUGACAGAAGUAGUUUAACUCCUGUGAUAAACCCCUUGCCUCUCCAUGCUUAAAAAGAGGUUGAAGUGCCCUAUUAGGGGGAAAUUUCUCAAUGAGAUGGGGUCAAUUGCUGCUGUUCCCUCCUUUCAGGACACUUCUGCUUCUUUUCAACCAAGGAGGGCUAUGCAUGACAACUGUAAGUAGUUUAACUCAUGUGAUGAGCUCAGUGCCUCUUCUCUGUUGAGCCUUUUUUCAUGGCUAGGCCUUCUUUGCCCCUUGCCUGAGUGGGCAAGGGAUAUGAAUGGUACCAUCCAGGAUGUAGUUAUGUAUUUGGUGUGAACUGUCUUCUACCUGUUUUUUUUCUGUCUUUCUUCUUUGCUUUGGAUAUAAACAGUAGUUAUGUAGAUUGAGGAGUAUUAAAAGACUUGAACCUAUAUGCAGAGACUGCUGAUAGUGUUGCCAUUACUGGGUGAGCCACAGGGACUGUGGGAAUUGCUGAAGGAGAGAAAACAUGGUGCUACUGUGUGUGAUGAUGUAGAAUGCAUAUGCUCUGGGUAUGUCUGUCUUGGUGGGAGGAAAGCUGUCUGCCUCUGGUUGUGUAUUCCUGGCAUAUCGCUUGUUAUUUGGCUGGACUUUCAGAGACACUGAGGUUUCAGGUGGGUUGCUAAAUUUAUUCAAGAAUGUUAUAUUUCUAGUUUUAUAUGUAUUUCCCUUCUUGGCUGGGCACAUAUUGGAUAUGGCAGCAUUCUUCCGGCAUAAUGGCCACAUAUUUCUGGUCUGAAAUAUGAAUGUCAGAUUGUUCUUCCUCAUUUUCAUAACAUCGCAGCAAAGUUGGGAUGAUGUGAUUCCCAUUGUCAAAUGAAGUGUUGAAUCUGGCCUUGGCUGAGAAUACUUAACAGUUUGUUUUCAGUGACACAAUCCAUAAAAUGGCUUUAUAAAAUUUUAAUUAUUUUGUCUCUGACUCAUGAGUUCUGCAAGGUUUACAGUUAGUAAUGAGUAAAUGUUCUAGUAGGGCUGUCAUAAUUUCUGCUUAUUCUUGUUUCUCAAGGCUCCUGUGUUUUGAACAGAUAGACUGACUUUCAAUUAAUGAUGCAGGAAUGUGGAAAUGUUGCUUAUUAAGUUUCUGUCACAGUUACCUAGUUAUGAAGCUGAAAAUCCUAACUGGCUUGCCAGCAUAUUGCUAAAAAUAUUUACCUUCUUGGGUCUUAUAACCACUGUCUAAGGUCCACAGCUGGAUGCACUUUUUUAUGACCAGUUGCAGGGGGGACCGACUUUAUUUGUCUAGGUCUGUUAAGAACUGUUUUUACUUUUAGAACAUAUGUGCAUGGCCCUCCAAAUAGACUGCCAUUCCUAUCAGUUCUGUUCAGUACUGUUAAUAUUUUCCCAUAUAACAGCAUGGCCAACAGUUGAGAGAUUAUAGGAACUCCACUCUACCAACAUCUAGAGGAUUACAAGUUGCCCAGCCCUGUUUUAGAUCCUUGCACUCCUUGUUUCUGUUCCCUGCAUGGAUUUUACCCUGUGAUGCUAGUUUUAUUCUAUGUUAUUUAUUAUUGGUUUUUAUUUUGUAUCUUAUGUUUUUAGUAGACUUGUAUACCACCUAGAAAACCUCAAUGAUUAGGCAGCCCAAAAAGGGAAAAAAUUAAAACAAAAGAUAUGUGUUCAAUAAAAUCCAGGCAAGAAUUCCUUGA